AAAUAAAGAAACCUUGUUUUCUCGGCUCAUCUUCUAGCAUUGAAGCGCAUGUUGAUGUGGGGCUCAUCAUUCUGUUUGAUACCCUAGGGUUCUUUCUUCAAUCUCUUGAUGGAAACAACAACUUCUUCAGAGGAGGUUUUGGUAUGCCAAACAUGUGGUGACGGAGGAUACACCAAUGCUUUUGUUUAUUGUGUUAAGUGCUUGGGAUUUGUUGUUCACAGGUACUGCCUAGAUGUAAUACCAAGGACACCUGAUGAGUUUGUCCCUUGGUUUUGUGAAGAUUGCAAGCCAGCAGUUCCAUAUCAGUUCGCUUUACCGAAACUUGAGCCUUCACGGUCUCAGAAAGAGUAUGCCACAAGUUCAGCAAAUGUAAAAAGAACUCAUGGUAAGAAGAAGCAAACGAAGAAAAGGAAAAUGGCUCCUUUAGUAGCAGGGAAAGAUGUGGUCAGUUGUCAAGAGGAGGCCAUAAAGCCUGACCGCCAGUGUGUUUCACCAGCAAAUUCUCCGGUAAAAGAAGCAUCAGUGAAGUCAGAUUCAGGAUGCAAUCAAAUCAUUCCAUGUGUGGUUUCUCGGUUAGAAAAGGAUGUUCUCCAGAAGCAGGCUUCAGAGUCUUCUGAGUUGGACAACAACCGUUCUCCACCGAAAACCAGUGCAGAAACGAAAAUAAAUGUAACUUCACCAGUGCAGUCAGAUUCAGGACACAAUCAAACCACUUUGUGUGUGGUUUCUCGGUUGGAAAAGGGAGAAUUUCAGAAGCAGGCUUCAGAGUCUGCUCAUUUGGACAAAGGAAGUUCAAAAAGGAAAGGGCAUGCAACUCCCUUGGCUGUGAAAGCAAAGGAGCAUAAAACUCGAAAGACAGUGCAUUCAGUCGAGCCUUCUGUGUGUGAUUCCAGUUGUACAAAUCUAACUUUAAAGGAUAAUGAGGACAUGAUUCGCUCUGUAGAGGAGCAGAGAUGUGAAAUUCAACAGUCCCAGACUGAUCAUGACAAGUUAGUUUCUGAAUCUUCAUCCAUUGAGUUAACCAAGAAGACUAAGGACUAUGAUGGCCAAAAUGAAACAGUAAACCAGACGGAAUACAAACAAGAAAUGAGUGCAAGCAAAGCUUAUGCUGAUACUUAUACGUCAACGCUUAUUGAAAAUAAUGAACAAUACAUCCAUUAUCCACCUGCAAGACCGGUCUUGGAUCCAGUAUGGAGGGGAAGCUUUAAUAUUACUGAAACCGAUUAUGAUCUAUUUGAAGGAUUUGUUGGCCAUUUAUCAACUAAAGCUUGUUACAAGGUGCGUGAGGAGGCUACUAUGCUUCCUUCAUUGCUUUGCUUGGAAAUGCAACCAAAGAUGGCUCUAUGGCCGAAGAGCUUCUUGGAGUCCCAGCCAUCUGAUGAACAUAUUGCUCUGUACUUUUUUCCAGGCGACACAAAAAAUGAAAGGGUUUUUGAGCGCUUGGUCAUUGACAUGAUAGAUGAAGAGCUCGCAAUGAGAGCCACAGCCAAAAAUGCGGAGCUAUUGAUAUUCACUUCUACCGUUCUGCCUCAGUCACACUGGAGAUUCCAAGGGAAUUAUUAUCUCUGGGGAGUUUUCAGAGCCAAAUUAAAGGAUUCUUCAUCACAUGUGAAUCAAGAUCUUGCAGUCUCAAAUAACAGUGUUGACCAUGACCUGUCUGAAAAUUCUCUGAACGAAGUAACAAGUGGAGAGAAAAACCAGGCAAGCGUGAAACUUUUUGAUUCUCGGAGUCCUCAAAGUCCUUUGUGCAAUUACAGAUUACCAAUGGCUCAAAACAACAUUGUAAAACAAAACACCUUACGAUCUAUCAUUGAGAAGCAAAAACUCAACAAGAUGAAUUUCAUUGAUUGGUAUCGUGCUUUGAGGAUUGUACUUAGAGCGGAAAAGAAGCUUUAUGUUCUAGUGCAACCUAUUCCCGAAGAGCCCAAUAUUGAUGCUCCAAGUAUCGAAAGGGAUGCUUUCAAAAAGCAUUUAGAGGAUGCAUGUGAGGUCUCAUGCCUAAUGUUAAUAUCCAUGGAACCCGAGCUUCAGAAGCAACAUGAGAACAUGUUGCCAUUCGCUAUGAUCGAACACCUUAAGUUGUUAUUUCAAGAACACAUUAGACAUGAGAGGUACGAGAUAUCAAAAAGAUUGUUAGGUUGUAAGUUAGCUGAGGGAACUCCUGUUGUACCUCAUGUACUUAAGAUGAUUGGGUACAUUGAGCAACUCAAGGGGCUAGGGUUUCCUUUACGAAACGAAUUAGCCUCGGAUUUCGUUUUGCAAUCAUUGCCAAACAGCUACAAUCAGUUCGUUAUGAACUAUAAAAUGCAAGAUCUCGAGAGCUCCCUUUCUGAAUUGCUCGACAUGUUACGAACAGUUGAACAAAAGCUUUCAAGAAGUAAGUUGACCAUUCCAAUGGUUCGUUCGGACAACCAGAUGAAAGACAAAGGAAAGUCUAUUGCCAAGUCUGCUUCUAGAGCUUUAAGGCCUAAAGGAGCUAUAAAAAAGAAACCCAAGGGUAACAUAACCAAGGAAGGCGAGUGUUUUCACUGUAACAAGCAAGGGCAUUGGAAGAGAAACUGCCCUCUUUAUCUCGAGGAAAAGAAGAAGGGAAGUAUGACUUCUACUCCAGGAACUAAAAGAUAACCAAGAGGUUGAGCAAAUGUGAUGUUGAUAUGUGUGUGAGAAAUGGAGCAAGAGUUGAUGUGGCAAGAUGACAAAGACUCAUUUGGUUGGACAAAGUGAGAGAGCAAGUGACGUCUCAAACACAAUGAUGUAUAGGAGUCAUUGAACAUACAAGGUAAAGGUGGUUAUAGAUAUUUCAUUACAUUUACCAACGAUAUCAGUAGAUUUUAUUACAUUUACUUAUGUCAUAUAUAGAACAACAAAGCAUUUGUUAGUAUCAUCGUUUUUUUUGGAAAAAG